AUGGUGUAUAGGUCGCGACGCACAGAUUGCGACGAACAGGGCCACGGUGAACAGGUUCAUGGCAAAGGAUACACAGGCGUACAGGUUUUGCAUCACGCUCUUGGAGGAGACGGCAUGGCAGAACCGGAGCUCGCUGACGACGCAGCCCAAGACUCGCCUUUCCUUUCAGGGCGCAUAGAUUGCGACGGACAAGGCUACGGUGGACAGGUUUAUGGCGAAGGAGACACCGGUGUACAGGUUUUGCGUCACCCUCUUGGAGGGGACGGUGCGGCGGAGCCGGAGCUCGCUGACGGCGCAGCCCGAGACUCGCUUUUCCCAUCACGGCGUACAGGUCCUUUGUGGAACCCAUAUCCGCAACGACGUAUCUAA
rnacentral:rRNA from 1 species